rnacentral:rRNA from 1 species
UACGAAGGGGGCUAGCGUUGCUCGGAAUCACUGGGCGUAAAGCGCAUGUAGGCGGCUUCUUAAGUCAGGGGUGAAAUCCUGGAGCUCAACUCCAGAACUGCCUUUGAUACUGAGGAGCUUGAGUCCGGGAGAGGUGAGUGGAACUGCGAGUGUAGAGGUGAAAUUCGUAGAUAUUCGCAAGAACACCAGUGGCGAAGGCGGCUCACUGGCCCGGUACUGACGCUGAGGUGCGAAAGCGUGGGGAGCAAACAGG